rnacentral:lncRNA from 1 species
CGUUAGUAACUGAAGUAUUGCAAAUACGCCCGACUUUUAAUCCACUUCUCUGUUGUCCUCCUUCCCAAGAGGAAUCGGUAAUCCUCUCUUCGUUUGUUCGUGUUCCCAAGUGGAACGACAAUACAAUAUGAAAGGGACACAGCUGGUAUGUUGCUCGCCUUUCUGUAACCCUCUCUUCUUUGUCCUCGUUGCCAAGAGGAACAACAAUAUCAUACGCAAUAAAGGGACACAGUUGGUAC